UCACAAGUGAACAUUUCCCAGUCAAUGGUC
rnacentral:piRNA from 1 species